AGAUGGGCGAUGAUGGGAGAUAGUAAGUUCUGGAGAAGUCUCAGAGAAGAGGCGGAUGGUGCGAGCCUUUGACAGAUCCCGACCGAACCGGGCCCGGAGCUUCUGUAUGAAAAGUGCAGCGUUUUAUCAGCGUUAAUGAUCAAUGAAGUGAGCCGCGGGGUUUGCGGUUAAUGAGGGUGGUACCGCCGGACAUCCGGUCCCUGAU
rnacentral:ncRNA from 1 species